UACAGAGGGUGCGAGCGUUAAUCGGAAUCACUGGGCGUAAAGGGUGCGUAGGUGGUUGAAUAAGUCAGAUGUGAAAUCCCUGGGCUUAACCUAGGAAUUGCAUUUGGUACUGUUUAGCUAGAGUGCAGUAGAGGGAAGUGGAAUUUCCGGUGUAGCGGUGAAAUGCGUAGAUAUCGGAAGGAACAUCAGUGGCGAAGGCGACUUUCUGGACUGUAACUGACACUGAGGCACGAAAGCGUGGGUAGCGAACAGG
rnacentral:rRNA from 2 species